GGCCAGAUAGCUCAGUCGGUAGAGCAACGGAUUGAAAAUCCGUGUGUCGGCGGUUCGAUCCCGCCUCUAGCCACCA
rnacentral:tRNA from 1 species